rnacentral:rRNA from 1 species
GACAGAGGCCCCAAGCGUUAGGCGGAAUCACUGGGCUUAAAGCGUGUGUAGGCGGAUCGUUAAGUGUCUUGUGAAAUCCCACGGCUCACCCGUGGAACUGCUGGGCAUACUGGCGAUCUUGGGCCAACUAGGGGCAGUCGGAACAAGCGGUGGAGCAGUGAAAUGCGUAGAUAUCGCUUGGAACGCCGAAGGUGAAAACAGACUGCUGGGGUUGCGCCGACGCUGAGACACGAAAGCCAGGGGAGCAAACGGG